UACGUAGGGUGCGAGCGUUAAUCGGAAUUACUGGGCGUAAAGCGUGCGCAGGCGGUUUUGUAAGCCAGAUGUGAAAUCCCCGGGCUUAACCUGGGAACUGCGUUUGAAACUGGAAGGCUAGAGUGUGGCAGAGGGGGGUGGAAUUCCACGUGUAGCAGUGAAAUGCGUAGAGAUGUGGAGGAACACCGAUGGCGAAGGCAGCCCCCUGGGCUAACACUGACGCUCAUGCACGAAGGCGUGGGGAGCAAACAGG
rnacentral:rRNA from 1 species